rnacentral:lncRNA from 1 species
UGAAAAUGCAAACUUUAAAAAGGUAUCUACCACAGCUUUAGAUCAGCAGCUACAUACUGCCCAUUUUGCUAAUGAUAAGCAUAGAAAUAUUUCCAUAGCUUUGUCAGAGCAACAUAUUAUAUAGAUAAAAAGAUGUCUUAGAAGUAGUAGUCUUAGUAAGAAGACAGGAUAUAACAUACAUUAAGGCUAGAAAGGUGGAAAUUUUAGACAUAGCCAAGCCUUGACCGGUGUUCCACUGUCCUAGAAAGUCCUUGAGCAGACCAUGGGCUUAAAAUUCAACACUAUCACUUUAAUAAAAGCUAGGUCAUUGCCUUACACAAGAAUUUAGCAUCAACUAGGAAAAAGGAAGUUUAAGACCUAAAGAGGAACCAGAGUAGAUACUUAGAACUGUAGAUAGCUGAGUUACACCCAUACACAAGUAUUUACAAUGGCCUAGAGGAAAGGUGAACUACCAAAACUGGUUUUCAACCUCCCCCUGGCUUUCGACCUUGGUGUCCUCCCUUUUGGGGCCCCUAUUGGGACUCCUACUAUUGAUUUCCUUCGGUCCUUGGGCAUUUCAGAAAUUGACCUGAUUUGUUAAAUCUCAAGUUGAUUCAUCUCUUUCAAGUGCUUUUGUUUCAGUUCAUUACCAUCGGCUGGACGUUGGCGAUAACAAGCAGGUUACUGGAAAAGAGGCAGACGUGGAUACCGCUUCAUCACCCUCUUCUCGGGGAGAGAGACUCAAUUUCCAUAAAAUGCUUAAGUAAGAUCAUUCCCCUCCCCCUAAAUUCGGCCAUCAGUCUCAUGCCACAAAUCAUUUAUAGAUUGCCGUAGUCUGUGCUUCCGACAUGGUAAUAUACGUUCUCGCCACAUUGAAAACUAAACAGUCAUCCCAGGCUAGACACAUCAAAAAAUUAAAACUUGAAGCCGUCGCCCGUGAGAGUUGUAAGACUAAGUACUGCACAGAGAUUAGUCUAAAAGCUGUUAGACAGUCUCUGAGAGGCAUGUCUGAUUGCAUAAAGGUUGAGUGCCCCAGGGACCUUUCCCCAGAAAAAACGGCACAGGAGCAGGUCAGAGUUACUCUGGGUAAAAAUCUGUGGGCCUGAGAGUCAAUCCUGUACAUGGCCCCUAACAUUACACACUGGGGAUCAGACCUCUACCUCUACCCACGGAGCUUGCUUCAUUCCUAAUUCCCUUGGCUAGCCCAAGUUAUAUCCAAAAGACUGGAACCUUCAAGCCUCAUAGAUGACUUGUCCUUGUGUCCUUCGUGGUUUUAGAGAAUCAUCCGGUGAACAAACAGACGUUUAGGUGAUCUUUAAAAACGUGGCUACAAAUUUAUUAUACAAUAUGCCUUUAUAAAAAUAUUAAAACGGGGGAGAUGUUGGGAGCCAUUAAGGCAACGCUAUUGUCCUGAUCUCUGAAUUGGGCCUCUCCCCCCCGAGAAGAAAAGAGGGUCAAAAGCGGGCCACCGACACAUGGAUUCCGAGAACCACGGGAGGUUCCAGCCCUAGGUCAUCACCGUUGUCCUGACCACACCCUGAUACCACCAAGUUCCUGCUUCCCGGUGUAGCUG